CAACGGUGAAACUCAAAGGAAUUGACGGGGGCCCGCACAAGCGGAGGAACAUGUGGUUUAAUUCGAUGAUACGCGAGGAACCUUACCCGGGCUCAAACGUCGGAGGACGUGCGGAGAAAUCCGCAUUUCCCUCGGGACUUCCGACGAGGUGCUGCAUGGUUGUCGUCAGCUCGUGCCGUGAGGUGUCGGCUUAAGUGCCAUAACGAGCGCAACCCCCAUCUACAGUUGCUAACAGGUGAAGCUGAGGACUCUGUGGAGACUGCCGGCGCAAGCUGAGAGGAAGGCGGGGAUGACGUCAAAUCAGCACGGCCCUUACGUCCGGGGCGACACACGUGUUACAAUGGCAGGUACAGAGGGGUGCUACCGGGUGACCGGAUGCCGAUCUCGAAAACCUGUCCCAGUUCGGACUGGAGUCUGCAACCCGACUCCACGAAGUUGGAUUCGCUAGUAAUCGCGCAUCAGCCAUGGCGCGGUGAAUACGUUCCCGGGCCUUGUACACACCGCCCGUCAAGCCAUGGAAG
rnacentral:rRNA from 1 species